GUUUCUGUAGUGUAGCAGUUAUCACGUUCGCCUCACACGCGAAAGGUCCCUGGUUCAAUCCCAGGCAGAAACA